GACGAACCGUCCAAACGUUGUUCGGAAUCACUGGGCUUAAAGGGCGCGUAGGCGGGCUGCCAAGUCAGGGGUGAAAUCUUUCGGCCCAACCGGAAAAGUGCUUUUGAUACUGGCAGUCUCGAGGGAGGUAGGGGUCGAUGGAACUAUUGGUGGAGCGGUGAAAUGCGUAGAUAUCAAUAGGAACGCCGGUGGCGAAAGCGAUCGACUGGACCUUUUCUGACGCUGAGGCGCGAAAGCCAGGGGAGCAAACGGG
rnacentral:rRNA from 1 species